rnacentral:rRNA from 1 species
AUCCAUGCUGUCCAUUGAUACCGGGGAGGAACGUGGGGAUCACGUCAAGUCAGCAUGGCCUUUAUGCCUGGGGCCACACACGUGCUACAAUGGCCGGUACAAAGCGCUGCAAACAG